CCCACGCCUCGUAUGGCUUACCCUAACUUCAUGUGCACUGCCCAAAUCCAGCCCACACGGGACCACAAAUCUGCAUCACGGAGAACCCCCAGGCACCAGAUCUACAUCCCCACACCCCCUGGGGCCCUCCAAUCCCUAAACACCACCCAUACCCCAUGGGCACCUCCAAAGCAAGAAGCAGGACCCCAGACACCACCCAUAGGGGCCCCCACUGUCAGGUGCCCCCCGCUGACACUGAGGGUCUGACCUACGUCGAGCUGCAAGUUGCGACCCCCAGCACCCAGCCCCCCAGUUCCCCCAGUUCCCCCCAGCCCGCUGUGAUCUACGCCGAGGUGGCCACUGCGAGACCCCGCUGAUGCCUCUGGUAUUUGUGCACAGACAUGUAUAUGUUGUGUGCACACAUGAACUUCCAGCACAUGCAGUGCAGGUGUGAGAUGUGUUCUCACCAUCACCUGUGCACUACAUGCGUGUACCACUGCAUUGUUCACACGAAUUACAUGUUUGUGUGUAGUCACAUGUGCAGAAUAGAUGUACACACAUGUGUACUAACACACGUAA